AGUGAACGCUGGCGGUAGGCCCAACACAUGCAAGUCGAACGGCAGCACAGUAAGAGCUUGCUCUUACGGGUGGCGAGUGGCGGACGGGUGAGGAAUACAUCGGAAUCUACUUUUUCGUGGGGGAUAACGUAGGGAAACUUACGCUAAUACCGCAUACGACCUACGGGUGAAAGCAGGGGAUCUUCGGACCUUGCGCGAUUGAAUGAGCCGAUGUCGGAUUAGCUAGUUGGCGGGGUAAAGGCCCACCAAGGCGACGAUCCGUAGCUGGCCUGAGAGGAUGAUCAGCCACACUGGAACUGAGACACGGUCCAGACUCCUACGGGAGGCAGCAGUGGGGAAUAUUGGACAAUGGGCGCAAGCCUGAUCCAGCCAUACCGCGUGGGUGAAGAAGGCCUUCGGGUUGUAAAGCCCUUUUGUUGGGAAAGAAAAGCAGCAGGUUAAUACCCCGCUGUUCUGACGGUACCCAAAGAAUAAGCACCGGCUAACUUCGUG
rnacentral:rRNA from 1 species